GGUGGUGUAGCUUGGUGGUAAGGCACAUGCCUAACACGCAUGAGACUCUAGGUUUGAUCCCCAGCAUCCACCA
rfam:Ictidomys tridecemlineatus contig085959, whole genome shotgun sequence.